UACGUAGGGGGCUAGCGUUGCUCGGAAUGACUGGGCGUAAAGGGCGCGUAGGCGGCUUGUUUAGUCGGAUGUGAAAUUCCUGGGCUUAACCUGGGGGCUGCAUACGAGACGUAUGGGCUUGAGUGCGGAAGAGGGUCGUGGAAUUCCCAGUGUAGAGGUGAAAUUCGUAGAUAUGACAUAGAACACCAAUUGCGAAGGCAGCUGGCUACGCGAAUAUUGACACUGAUGCACGAAAGCGUGGGGAGCAAACAGG
rnacentral:rRNA from 1 species